GUCACACAAGGCGGCUAGCAGG
rnacentral:miRNA from 1 species